rnacentral:lncRNA from 10 species
CUCCAAAUAGUUUCCAUCCUUUUUUGAUGUAGAGUUGUAUGUAAGUUUAGAUUAUUAGCAACGGUCUCACCCAACAGUAGGAGAUAAUCUGCUUAUAUUUGAAUAAGCAUUAAGAUUGUUGGGGUUGUUUUGUAAAAAAUACCUUUUCUUAGCUUUACCCCUCGAGAUUCUGAUGUCAUUGGUCUGGGGUAGAGCCUAGGAAUCAGUUAUCUCUCAUUUUAUGUUACACCACGAAACUUCCAUAAUUUUCCAAACAAGUCACGUGUUUUCAUGUCCCUACUUUGCAAGUGCUGUUCCCUUGCUUGGAAUUCCUUUCUCUACCUUUUGUGCCCAAUGAUGCAACAUCUUCUGAUUCCCAUUCCAGCCCCUCCUCUUCUAAGAAUCCAUCACUGACCAUACCCUGCUAACAGCAACCAUUUACCGAGUGUCUCCAUGUAGUGUAACAGGGCCCUGCACACACCUUAUUUCAUUUGAUGUGCACAUUAAGUUUGAUAUAUGAAAACAGGCAUCAAGUGGCUUGCCUAGGGUCGCAACUAGAAAGUUGAAAAACCACAAAUUCAUACCUAGGCUGCCUGAUUCUGAAGCUCAUUCUUUCCCCACCACACCAUGGUACCCUCUGCUUGCACAGGACUGUGAUAUCCAUAGCACUAACCAUGUGAUGGUGAAAUUGUUUGUCUAUGGUCUCUCUUCUCCAUGAAAUCAUAAGCUGCUAGAGAUCACAGGCUAGGUAUUUUUUAUUUCUGUAUUCUGGGGGCCUGCUACAUCAUGAAUGCUUGAUCACUGUUGUU